AACGCUGGCGGCGUGCCUAAUACCAUGCAAGUCGAACGGUCUUUCUAUGGAAGCUUGCUUCCACUGAGAAGAUAGUGGCGAACGGGUGAGUAACACGUGGGUAACCUGCCCAUAAGAGGGGGGAUAACAUCCGGAAACGGGUGCUAAUACCGCAUAGUUUUCUUGGUCGCAUGAUCGGGAAAGGAAAGACGGCCUUUGUGCUGUCGCUUAUGGAUGGACCCGCGGCGUAUUAGUUAGUUGGUGAGGUAACGGCUCACCAAGACGAUGAUACGUAGCCGACCUGAGAGGGUGAUCGGCCACAUUGGGACUGAGACACGGCCCAAACUCCUACGGGAGGCAGCAGUAGGGAAUCUUCCGCAAUGGACGAAAGUCUGACGGAGCAACGCCGCGUGAGUGAAAGAAGGUUUUCGGAUCGUAAAACUCUGUUGUCAGAGAAGAACAAGUUGGAGAGUAACUGCUCCAGCCUUGACGGUAUCUGACCAGAAGGCCACGGCUAACUACGUGCCAGCCGCCGC
rnacentral:rRNA from 1 species